UCCUUGGAGGUUUUUAAGACCUCACUACAGAAAGCCUUGGUGGGGUUGAUAUAGUUGGGGAUGGUCUUGCUUUGAGCUGGGGGGUGGAUUACAUGUGUCCUCCUCAGGUCCCUUCUAACUCAAAUAUUCUCUGAUUGUAUGAUUAAUUCUGCUGCACAUUAGCAGCUCCUGCUAAUGUCAAUGCUAGUUCUCAGCACUGUAGAUUCAUAGUUUCAUAGUUAUAGGGUCGGAAGGGACCUAAGUAGAUCAUCAAGUCCGACCCCUGCCCUGGGCAGGAGUGAAUACUGGGCUCAUAUGACCCCAGCUAGGUAAUUAGCAAGCCUCCUCUUAAAAACCCACAAGACAGGAGCCAGCAUCACUUCCCUUAGAAGUUGGUUCCAGAUCCUAGCCGCCCUGACUGUGUCCAGCCUGAUGCUUCCUGAUCAGUGCUUCCUGUCCAUCAGUGCUUCCUGAUGUCCAGCCUGAACCUACUCUCUACCAACUUACGGGCGUUAUUCCGGGAGGUGCUUGGGGGAACAGGGUUUCUCCCACUCCCCGCUGGUCCCUUCUGGUGAGUUUAUAGAUGGCCACUAGGUCCCCUCUCAGCCUUCUCUUGUGGAGGCUGAACAGGUUCAGGUCCCGUAGCCUCUCCUCGUAGGGCCUGCCCUGCUGCCCCCAGACCAUGUGAGUGACCCUCCUCUGGACCCUCUUGAUGCUGGCCACAUCCCUCCUGAAGCGCAGCACCCAGAACUGGACGCAGUACUCCAGCUGUGGCCUGACCAGUGUCGCACAGAGGGGGAGGAUCACCUCCUUGGACCUGCUCGAGAUGUACCUGUGGAUGCAUGACAAGGUGCGCUUAGCCUUCCUGACUGCGUCCCCACACUGUCGGCCCAUGUUCAUUUUGGAAUCGAUAAUAACUCCAAGAUCCCUUUCUGUCACUGUGCUUUUGAGAAGGGAGUUCCCCAGCCUGUAGGUAUGCUGCUGGUUUUUCCUGCCCAAGUGCAGUACCCUGCACUUGUCAGUAUUGAAUCUCACCCUAUUCUCAUUCGCCCACCCCUGUAACCUGUCCAGGGCCAGUUGUAUCCUGUCCCUCCCUUCUAGCAUGCCUACCUCACCCCAAAUGUUGGUGUCAUCAGUGAAUUUGAACAGGGUGCUUUUUAUCCCCUUGUCCAAGUCGCUAAUAAAGAAAUUGAACAGUGUGGGCCUGAGGACCGAGCCCUGGGGGACUCCACUGCCCACAUCCCUUCAGGUCAAAUAUGACCCAUCCACCACCACUCUCUGGGUGCGGCCCCUCAGACAAUUUGCGAUCCAUUUGACUGUGUAGGCAUCAAUGCCAUAUUCGUCUAGCUUUUUAAUGAGAAUGGGGUGGUCGACAGUGUCAAAGGCCUUCCUGAAGUCCAGAAAGACUAUGUCCACCGCAACACCUGCGUCCAAGGAUCUUGUGACCUGAUGGUAGAAGACAAUCAGGUUGGUCUGACAGGACCUGCCCCUAAUGAAGCCAUGCUGGUUGCCCCUGAGUAUCAUCCCCCCUGCUGGUCCUUCACAGAUGUGCUCCUGGAUAAUCUUCUCAAAGAGCUUCCCCAGAAUCAAAGUAAGACUAAUUGGCUUAUAGUUGCCUGGGUCCUCCCUUCUCCCUUUUUUGAUAAUGGGGACCACAUUGGCCUUCUUUCAGUCUUCUGGCACCACACCAGAGCACCACGAGUGCUUGUAAAGCCGUGCCAGGGGCCUCGUGAUAACCCCUGCCAAUUCCCUCAGCACCCUGGGGUGGAGAGCAUCUGGACCUGCUGAUUUGAACACAUCCAGCCUCUCCAGAAGUUCCCUAACUUGGUCCUCCCUGACCCUAGGCCUGGCAGAGUCUCUCCUGGGUCCAUCCUGAAUCCCAGUGGGGGAGAUAUCCCAGUCCCUGCACAAAAAAAUGGAGGCAAAGAAUCUGUUAAAAAGGUCUGCCUUUUCCUUUGGUGUAACCACCAGAUUACCAAGCAAAUCCUCCAGGGGCCCCACAUUACCCAGUGCCUUCGUUAUACUCCCCAUGUAUUUAAAAAAGGAAUUUUUGUUGUCCUCGAUCCUCGAAGCAAGCCCUAGUUCCAUAUCUGCCUUAGCUUUCCUAACAGCCCCCCUACAAACCCAAGCGAUGGAGGUGUGCUCCUCUUGGUGAUAGCCCCUCCCUUUGACUGGGUACAUGCCUCCUUUUUGGCUUUCAGGUGUUCCUGAAUGCCUUUGGUGAGCCAGGGGGCCUUUUGAACACUCUUGCCCCCUUUGAUUCUCAUUGGGACUGUCACCCCCUGGGCUUGGAGGAUCAUCUCCUUAAGGAACGACCACUCGUCUUGGACACCCAGUUCCCCUACCCUCCAGGGCCCCAGUGCCCCUCCUACCAAUCUCAUCAACUCAUUGAAGUUGGCCCUCUUGAAGUCAAGGGCUACUGCCUUGCUGCAGGCCCUUGACACCCUGCGCUGGAUGGUGAAUUCCAGCAAGUGAUGAUCGCUGUCGCCCAGGUGGUCAAGAACCUGGAGUCCCCUCACCAGGUUGUCACCUGUGGCCAGGACCAGGUCCAGCAGGGCAUUCCCCCUGGUGGGGCUGUGCACCUCCUGGGUUAGGUGGAGGUCCUGUAUCUCAGAAAGAAACCUACGUGAGAGGUCAGACCUGGCUGACUGCUCCUUGCAGCAGAAGUCCAGGUAGUUUAGAUCACCCAUGAUGACUACAUUCCUUGCCUUAACUGCCUCUGCAAGCUGACCUGAGAAUUCGCAGUCUAGCUCUUCCCCUUGGUUGGGAGGUCUGUAGUAGACCCCCACCAUUAAGUCCCUUUCCCCAUGACCCCCCUGUAACCUGACCCAGAGCUCUUCAGUCUGCCCCUCCUCUGACCCCAUCCUGUUAGUUGAGGACAUGCAUUGCUCUUUGACGUAGAGUGCCACACCCCUGCCUUUCCUCCCCGUACUAUACCGCCUGUAGAGUCUGAAGCCUCUAAUGUUUAUCGCCCAGUCAUGGGAUGAAUCCCACCAGGUUUCUGUGAGCCCUACUAUGUCUGGGUUUGUACUAGCUAUCCGGAGGGCGAGUUCCUCCUGCUUAUUCCCUAUGCUAUGAGCAUUAGUGUAGAGGCAUUUAAGGCCUCGUAUUGGUACAUGCACCACCCCUCGAUUCUUAGGUCUAUCCGGACCCCUGUCACUUACCUGAGUACUCCUUGUGCAUGUCACCUGUCUUGGCUGGGAGGUGUCCUCAUGUCCUCCUGUGGCCCCAUCCUUUGUAGCCAGAGGUAGCCCAUUGGAUUGCUUUUAAGUUCAGCAAGAAACACGAGCUCAGGCAUGGAAACAUUAACUCAUGUGACCAUUACCUCAGGGGUGGAUAUCUCCUUCAGAGAAGAAUAGGAAAUGCUGUCAAGAUGCUCAAGAAGGUGAGUUGGUCUUUCAUGAGUCUGAGAGAGAUGGACAUUGGAUACUAAUAGCUCCAGGACUAAUGAUAGCACCAUAUUUAAUGAUGUUUGCCUUUUUAAUUGUGUUUUUUGACAUAAUGGACACUAGAGCAAAUGAACACACCUUCCAAUAAAGUCUUUGUUUGUCUUUUCUUGAGCCUGAACCUGAAUAACACAGACCCAGACCCCUCGCAUCUCAGGAAAUGGUUUUGAUUUCUUUGGACUGGAGAUAAAAAUAUGUGUUGUGUUUCAUGUGAGGAGGUGGCCCACUCUCUUCCUCUUUACUCAUUUUGUCAGCAACCUAGAUCCCCCCUCCUGGCCUGGCUUCCACUGGCCUUCUUCCAGCCACUGAGACACAAGCUUUCUUCGGGUGUAUGUAUGUCUGUGCGUGGUUGGGAAAAUGAGGUGCCCAGAUUGGAUAAGCCAUGUUAAGCCCCACCCAUGCAGGAGAGGAACAAGUUCACAGUGGUGAAAUCGAAACGCUGCUGACGUGUCCCGGGGAGUUGGCAGGUGCUGGAGGCUUUCGCUUCCUAUAUCACUUGGAGCAAACACUGCAGUCAACAGCAUCUUCUCCUACACCAAACAUGGUUGAUGAGGACCUGACAGCUAUUCCUGGCCACAGAGUCUCUUCAGAAUUGCCAACGCCACCCAUGCCAUUAUCUGUCCCAAACCUCCUGAAUGAACGCAACCGACUGGGGGCCAAUGGAGAGCUGGACAAUGCAACUCGGCGGUGUUUCAAUCAUGCCAUACAGCUCUUGAAUGUCCAGUCCAACAGAAUACAAGACAAUACCACGCUGGUGCUUGACUAUGGCAUGGUCUCUGAAAAGAGUUAUCUACAUUGUUUGAGUGAAAUUAAGCAUGCUCAUUAUACAGAAUGGAGAAGGUUUUAGAAGAUCAUAAACUCCUCACCUUUACAAGGGAGUUGUGUGCAGUGAGAGGAGUCUCCGUUGUUGUAGUCUCUGUGAAGGGAGUGGUCCAGCAGAGCGGUCUCUGUGACUGAAGCUUGUUUGUCAUGGGCAUUCAGCUUUUCAUCUUCCCUUGGUCCAUCAUCAUCAGUUAUUGUGGUCAUCUGUCCCUAGAUCCCUAACUAGGCCGGAGUAAUUGAAGAACACACUUACCUGAGACAGAGGAGUGCUAAGGAAUUGGGUAAAGUAUCACCUUCCCAUGAGUAAGUGUGGGACCAGCUUGGGUGUUGCUAGUUGUGGGAGAAGUCCUGGGAGCAGUAGGGGUGUCUGUGUGGUUAUGUUGGGAGGUGAAAAUCUGUUCUUGCAUAUAUUUGCAUAUAAAUUCUAUUAUCUGUGUAUAACCUUGCUAAUAGUUGUACUAAAUGUUGAACCAUUUGUAUGCUGUUCUGUGCUGAUGUGUUUGAUAUUUGGUGUGAUACCAUAUAUGUGUGUUGU